AUACUACUUCCUUCGUCCUGAAAUAAUUGUCUUAGAAAUGAAUAUAAUGGAUGUAUCUAUAACUAAAAUAAAUCUAGAUUCAUUCAUUUCUAGAACAAGUAUUUCGGGACGGAGGGAGUAUUAA
rfam:Hordeum vulgare subsp. vulgare, WGS project CAJW01000000 data, contig: morex_contig_47673